GACCACGGGCUCCCAGCAUAUUCUGUGGGUUGUAAUCUGUGGCUGGUCAUUGCAGUAGCAUCAUCCUUGACAGAUCGUUAUUGAUUCUGAUGCUCGGACCCCCUCAGUUCGCUGCGUGGGGUGGGGGCCUUCAAGCGGCUUCUGGGUGCUUCUGACACGACCCCCUCACCCUUUGAGCUCAUCUGUGCUUUCCAACCGGAGAUGUUCCAGCCACAUCUUGGCCUUCCCCUGCUCCAGUCUGGAAUGAACCACUUCUCCAAGGAACCCUGAUUCCUUUUAGUGGAAAAUGAUGAUUGGAAACCAAGACCUGGGCACGUGGCGUGCUCACUGCUGCUGGCAUCCCUGCUCUGAGAAAACGGCUGCAAGCACAACAGCUAUGAAGACGCCAAGGCCUACGGGUUCAAGAACAAGCUGAUCAUCGUCUCGGCAGAGACGGCCGGCAACGGGCUGUACAACUUCAUCGUGCCACUGCGGGCCUACUACAGAUCCCGCAAGGAGCUGAACCCCAUCGUGCUGCUGCUGGACAACAAGUG
rnacentral:lncRNA from 1 species